rnacentral:tRNA from 1 species
AUAUAAAUAGCUUAUAGUUAGAGCAUAAUAUUGAAGCUAUUAAGGAGAUAAAUUUAUCUUUAAAUA